AAUGGGGGCAACCCUGAUCCAGCCAUGCCGUGUGAGUGAAGAAGGCCUUCGGGUUGUAAAGCUCUUUCGGCCGGGAAGAAAUCGCAUGGGUGAAUACCCUGUCUGGAUGACGGUACCGGAACAAGAAGCACCGGCUAACUACGUGCCAGCAGCCGCGGUAAUACGUAGGGUGCGAGCGUUAAUCGGAAUUACUGGGCGUAAAGCGUGCGCAGGCGGUUUGGUAAGACAGGCGUGAAAUCCCCGGGCUUAACCUGGGAACUGCGCUUGUGACUGCCAGGCUAGAGUACGGCAGAGGGGGGUGGAAUUCCACGUGUAGCAGUGAAAUACGUAGAGAUGUGGAGGAACACCGAUGGCGAAGGCAAUCCCCUGGGCCUGCACUGACGCUCAUGCACGAAAGCGUGGGGAGCAAA
rnacentral:rRNA from 1 species